AGAGCAGAGCACUGACAGUUCUGGCCAUUUCAACCUAUGCUCUGAAAAAAGGGGCCAAAGGUGGCGAAAAAGGUUCCAACAGAAGGAGACUUCUGGCCAAGAGGAGCAGGUGAAACAAAGCCUCUUCUGACAUACAAUCAUGUACAAUAUUAUAUCUUACACAGUAAGGGUGGCCACAACAAUUAAGGGAAGGUUUUUUGUUCCAUUCCUGCUCAUUCAACACAGCCAAGUAUCUAUCUAGUUAUCUAUCAUUCACAAGAGCAUGUUUUGGGAGCUUUAACAGAGAUAAAAACAAAAUCACAGUAUCAGAUCCAAAAUCAGCAUAAUGUACUAAUGUACUUACUUACCUAUAAUUAGGUGGAGGAGAAGGAAGAAGAGGAAGACCACGAGGCAGAAGAAGAGAAGGAGCAAGAAUUAGAAAGAUCUUAUGACCUGCGCAAAAAGGAACCCGUGCCUUCAAGCCAACAAAGACAAAGAGUGAGCUCGUCUGAAGAGGACAAGAGAAAAAGCUCCUCUGAGAACGACAGCCAAAACGAGUGCCCCAUCCUACGAAGAGAGAGAGAAAGCUUCUUUGAGGAGGACGGCCAAAAAGAGUGCCCCAUGCUGCAAAAAGAAGUGCUGUGUGCAGCUGAGGUGGCUGUUUCACUUGAUCUUGUGACUUUAAUGACACCCACAAAGGACAAAGUUGCAGUAAAAGUACCCUCUGGUAUCCAGCAGGCCUUUGUUAGUCCAGGUACAGCAGCGAUUUUAAAAUGUCCUCCACAAAAAACUUUUCCUGACCCAACCGAGAGGCAGAGCAAGCUUGAGCAGUUAUUGUUUCAUCAGUGAAGCCUAUGUUCCAUGGGGCAAACACCAUGCCAGAAGAGGUUUUCAGACAGGAGUAUAGAUGAAGAGGAACAAGCAGAACAAGCAAGGAGGAGGGAGGAUUUAGAGGGGAUGAGGAGGGAAGAUGAAAGAAAAGUGGGGGACACCGAGAGUAGGGAGGGAA